ensembl:lncRNA LINC02746 long intergenic non-protein coding RNA 2746
GAGCUCGUGGGUCUGCGGGUUCUUGAAGAUGCCGGCCUCCGCCCAGCCGCCUGCCACGAAGAGCACCGCGCAGUCGGCCUGCACCGCGGGGAUACACAAACACACCGGGUUGCGGGAGGGGGCAUCGGACUGACUUUGGGAGGUUCCGAAUCCCAUUGUAAAGCUGGGGAAUGCCCUCCAGAACUCAGAUGGCCAAAUGGGAUUCAUGGACCACCCUAGAUGCGGUGCAUGGGGGUCCUGCUUCCCAGUUCCUCUCAUUUAAUCUCAUCUAAAUCAGCUUUUAGUCCCUUCUUUCUGGACCAACUGAUCUACUAGUCUGAGUGUAAGAAAACCUGGUCCCUCUAGGCCCCCCCAGGACAACAGGAUCUGAGCUUCAUGAGAGUGAUGGGACUUUCAGUCCUGUCCUCCCUAAUUCUUUCAGGAUUGAUGGAUGAUGGCCAUAGGAAUGUUUCUGAAGGCAUGGACUGCUUUACCUGGGAAGUGCCCCUGAUCAUGGUCAUGAUGAAGUCUCUGUGGCCUGGAGCAUCGAUGAUAAUGCUGUAAUCCUUUUCCUUCCCGUCUCCACAUGUCCAGAAGUUUGGUCCCCAUAAAAUUACAGUGGGCUGGGCACAGUUGCUCACGCCUGUAAUCUCAGCACUUUGGGAGCCUGAAGCAGGAGGAUCACUUGAACUUAGGAAAAGAAGGCCAGCCUGGGCAAUAUGAUUUAACCCAUCUCUACAAAAAAUUAAAAAUAGAGAAAAGAAAAAUUAGCCAGGCACAGUAGUGUGCACCUGAGGGGGCUGAAGUGGGAGAAUCACUUGAGCCUGGGAAGCAGAGGUUGCAGUGUGCCAAGAUCACAUGACUGCACUCCAUUCUGGGUGACAGAGUGAAACACUGUAUCAAAAAAGUAAAAAAAAAAAAAAAAAAAAAAAAAAAAGGGGGUUCUGCUUAAUUCUGCAAGAUUUGGGCAAAAAAAGUAUAUUCAGCCUCACCCACCCUCCCUUUAUCCAAUCACCCAGUCAAGGAAGAAGUCUCUGACAUUGGGCCUAAGGGUAAGGAGUGGCAUUUUUUAAGCUGAACAGGUUCUCAUUUCAGAUUUGGUGAGAACCAGAAGGAGGGGCAGUGCAGGUAGGGCUGGGCUCAUAAAAGCAGGAGGCAAAGAGUUCACUCUGUUGACAGUUGUUGUGGUUCUUGUUGAUCUCUGGAUCAGUUCUGCUGCUUCUUUUUUAGAAGUAGGACUUAAAGGAGCAAGCUGCAGACUACAGAGGGUCAGGAUCUCUUGUACUAGAAAUGGGUCAGAGGUGGGGGGAUAGAAGUUGAUUGGAUGAACAGGGGCUGUCUAAGCUCCCAGUGGUCAGGGGAUGGCCAAUGCAGGAGAAAGGUCAGGGUCAGGACUGCUUGGAAGUACCCGAUAUAGCCAAGGAAUUAGUCCAGGAGAUGUGAGCCUGGGCAAAUCAGUUUUACUUUUCAGUUUAACCUUUCAUGUCCCUGGCUCUGAGCUAGGCACCGAAGUGGGAAGAGGCAAUGCAGGAGCGGUGGUAGGAGGCUGCCCCUACAAGAUGUGUGCAAGAUGGGAGGUGACCCAGGCCUGAGUGGGGCUGAGGGUAGACUACUCUGUUAGGGAUUCUGGAAUUGAUCCUUAAUUGAAUCCCCAAGAAGUCCUCCACUGCUGGCAAGGUCACCAAGUUUGCAGCAAAAGCCAGCAAGAAAUGAAGCCCACCCUCCUCUCUGCAGUGUCCUCAGCUCCUCCUUCCCCCCCAAUAACUAAACAUUCAAUGAAUGUAUGUAUUUCCUAAAUAAAGUGGAUAAAAC